rnacentral:tRNA from 1 species
AGUAUAUAUAAGGCUUAUGUUACGGCCAUAAGAAUGAUAUUUUAUAUCGUGUACUU